UUCCCUUCCCUCUCUCUCCUGGCCCUCUACUCCCCUGUUUCCCUUCCAUCUCUCUGUCUCUGCAUCUCAUUCCUCUCACGAAUCUCCCAAGUUUUAAGAUUGCUCCAGGUUUUGAGAUAGCAGCGAACGAAUAAGGAGGAGAUUCACUGGAUCAUUUGCUUCCUUGGAUUUCUAGGGUUUUGUUGUUUCUAUGCUCUAUUUUGAAUAUAAGGGAAGAGAUGCAGAGAGUGCAAAUGUAAUAGUGACUGCUGGACAUGAAGGACUAAGAUUUUGGGACAUGCGGUAUGGAUGAAUGCUUGGUUCACUAGUCUUUUCAAAAUGACAGAUCACUUUGCUCUGUUUUUGUUUUGAUAUAUUUUCAUGCUUCUUGAUCAGCAAGAUGUGACUUGGUGACCAAGUUUUGUCGUUAUUGGCGAUUGCAAUUGGAUGCAUGUCUUUUUUGGUGUUAGUGUAAAUAUUAUUGAGUAAAUGUUCUAUAUUCUUUAGUUCCUUCUUACUGUUGGGAAAGAUAGUAAUUUUUUUUU